rnacentral:tRNA from 1 species
UAUAUCAUCCUCUUCAUACAUUAAAUUAGUAUGAGCUUUUCAGACGACGAAAAUGAAACCUAUAAACAAU